rnacentral:rRNA from 1 species
GAUGAACGCUGGCGGCGUGCCUAAUACAUGCAAGUCGAGCGAACAGAUGAGGAGCUUGCUCCUCUGACGUUAGCGGCGGAUGGGUGAGUAACACGUGGAUAACCUACCUAUAAGACUGGGAUAACUUCGGGAAACCGGAGCUAAUACCGGAUAAUAUAUUGAACCGCAUGGUUCAAUAGUGAAAGACGGUUUUGCUGUCACUUAUAGAUGGAUCCGCGUCGCAUUAGCUAGUUGGUAAGGUAACGGCUUACCAAGGCAACGAUGCGUACCCGACCUGAGAGGGUGAUCGGCCACACUGGAACUGAGACACGGUCCAGACUCCUACGGGAGGCAGCAGUAGGGAAUCUUCCGCAAUGGGCGAAAGCCUGACGGAGCAACGCCGCGUGAGUGAUGAAGGUCUUCGGAUCGUAAAACUCUGUUAUUAGGGAAGAACAAAUGUGUAAGUAACUAUGCACGUCUUGACGGUACCUAAUCAGAAAGCCACGGCUAACUACGUG